rnacentral:rRNA from 1 species
UGCUAGUCGCACGAGUUCACACUCGUGGCGGAAGCUCAGUAACACGUGGCCAAUCUACCCUACAGACACGAACAACCUCGGGAAACUGAGGCUAAUUCGUGAUAGAGCUCUCAGGUUUGAACACCGAGAGUCACAAACGCGUUAGCGCUGUAGGAUGAGGCUGCGGCCGAUUAGGUAGACGGUGGGGUAACGGCCCACCGUGCCCAUAAUCGGUACGGGUUGUGAGAGCAAGAGCCCGGAGACGGAAUCUGAGACAAGAUUCCGGGCCCUACGGGGCGCAGCAGGCGCGAAACCUUUACACUGCACGACAGUGCGAUAAGGGGACUCCGAGUGCGAGGGCAUAUCGUCCUCGCUUUUGUGUACCGUAGGGCGGUACACGAAUAAGAGCUGGGCAAGACCGGUGCCAGCCGCCGCGGUAAUACCGGCAGCUCAAGUGAUGGCCAAUCUUAUUGGGCCUAAAGCGUCCGUAGCUGGCCCUGAAAGUCCGUCGGGAAAUCCACACGCUCAACGUGUGGGCGUCCGGCGGAAACUUCAGGGCUUGGGACCGGAAGGCUCGAGAGGUACGUCCGGGGUAGGAGUGAAAUCCUGUAAUCCCGGACGGACCACCGAUGGCGAAAGCAUCUCGAGAAGACGGAUCCGACAGUGAGGGACGAAAGCUAGGGUCUCGAACCGGAUUAGAUACCCGGGUAGUCCGAGCUGUAAACGAUGUCUGCUAGGUGUGCCACAGGCUACGAGCCUGUGGUGUGCCGUAGGGAAGCCGUGAAGCAGACCGCCUGGGAAGUACGUCCGCAAGGAUGAAACUUAA